rnacentral:lncRNA from 1 species
UAUGGAGGUUCCCAGGCUAGGGGUCAGAUUGGAGCUGUAGCUGCCAGCCUACACCAGAGCCACAGCAACAUGGGAUACGAGAUGGGUUUGCAACCUACAGCACAGCUUACGGCAACGCUGGAUCCUUUACCCACUGAGCAAGGGCAGGGAUAGAACCCACAACCUCAUGGUUCCUAGUUGGAUUCGUUAACCACUGAGCCACAAAGGGAACUCCUGGAUACUUGUAGGGUUCUUGACCUGCUGAGCCACAAGGGGAAUUCCAUAAGAUAUUUUCAAAAGCUGGGCCCAAACACUGUUCUUUUUUUCCCCUAAGCCCGCUGUUUCUUGGUAGGAUUUUGGGGAAGGGACUUUUUGAUUUUGUCUUUCUCUGGCUCAUUUUACACAUGAGAUUCCUUACUCUGACUAUAAACCAUGGAAGAGCAGGUUUUCAGUUCUCCAUCUCCUAAGUUAUCUCUGGGAUUUCCAGUCCACUGAUGGGGUUAGUCCACUGUUUCUGGAUCUGGUUGAUCUUUUGGUUUGCUGGUUCAUUGAAGCGUUUCCUGACAUUAAUCAAUAGGUGCUGAGCUUGUUCACGUUUAGUCCUUGCUCAACCCACAAAUGAAAAUUAGAAUCAUGUGUGCUUUUUUUGGUAUGUCCCUUCUUUUGAAAGCAUAACCUUGACUUACCAGGCCCAGACAGCCACAGGGGAGAAGAGGGGCCCAGGUUGGAGUUCAAGAGCCACUGUCAAACAAGCCCUGGCUGCUUUGCAGUAUUCGAGGGAGUUGCCUCUCUGACCUCGCUCCAAGUGUCAGGAGGUAACACAAAAGGUACCUGUGUGCAUGGGUGUAUGUUGAGGGGAUGGAGGGGGCGGAGUUGGACCUCCUUUGAGGUCCCUGUCCCCAGGCAGGGCCACAGGGCUGCAGAGCCAGCAUUUGUAAGUAAUUUGGGUAAAGGGGAAGGAAGAAGAAUGUGUGGCCAGGGCUCUGGUCCUACCAAUUUUUUUUUUAUUACUGUGGUAAAAUAUAUAUAACAUAAAAUUUACUCUCGUAACCAUUGUUUUGGUUAUAUUCACUAGUUUGCUUUAUUUUUUAGAUUUCACAUGUGAUAUCAUAUAGUAUUUAUCUUUGUCUGACUUAUUUCACUUAGUAAAAUGCCCUCCAAGUCCAUCCAUGUUGCUGCAAGUGACACCAUUUUGUUCUUUUUUAUGGCUGAAUAAUAUACCAUUGUAUUUGUAUACCAUGCUUCACCUCUUCAACCGUUGAUGGGCACUUAGGUUGUUUCCAUGUCUUGGCUCUUGUAAAUAAUGCUGCUAUGACCACUGAGGCGCAGGUAUCUUUUUAAAUUAGUGUUUUUGCUUUUUUUUCAGAUGUAUACCCAGACAUGGGAUUGCUGGAUCAUAUGGUAAUGUCUUUUUGCCUUUUCUUGAGCUGCUCCCACGGCAUAUGGAGGUUCCCAGGCUAGGGGUCCAAUCGGAGCUGUAGCCACCAGCCUACACCAGAGCCACAGCAAUGUGGGAUCCGAGCCGUGUCUGCAACCUACAUCACAGCUCACGGCAACACCAGAUCCUUAACACACUGAGCAAGGCCAGGGAUUGAACCUACCACCUCAUGGUUCCUAGUCGGAUUCGUUAACCAAUGCGCCACAAUGGGAGCUCUUUUUUUUUAGUUUUUUGAGAAAUCUCCAUAUUGUUUUCCAAAGUCCAUUUUCAGCAUUUUUAAGUGUAAAAUUCUGUAGCAUUAAGUACAUUUACAUUGUUGUGCAACCAUCACCACUAUUUCAUGUGCAGAGUUUUUUUCCUCAUCCUAAACAGAAACUCUGUCUCCAUAAAAUAACUCUCCUUUCCCUUCUUCUUCCAGACCCUGGCAACCGCCACUCUACUUUCUGUCUUUUUGAAUUUGACUCUUCUAGAUACUUCAUAUACUGGGGAAUCAGACAAUAUUUAUCCUUUUGUGUCUGACUUAUUCCACUUAGCAUGAUGUUUCCCAGGUCAUCCACAUUGCAGCCAUUAUCAGAAUUUCAUUCCUUUUUAAUGCUGCAUAAUAGUCCAUUGAUGUAUAUAUCACAUUUUAUUUACCCACAUGUUUUCUGAUGAAUAUUUGGGUUGUUUCCCACUUUUAACUCUUGUGAAUGAUAGUGUGAUGAACAUAGGUUUAUGAAAUCUGAGUAUUUUCUUUUUUGUUGUUGUCAAAAUGUAAGCAUUUAUUUCUAGAAUCUUUUUUUCCAUGAGUCUCUAUUUUCUUUUCUUUCUUCUUCUUUUUUUUUAAUGGUCACACACUUGGCAUAUGGAGAUUCCCAGGUUAGGGGUCUAAUUGGAGCUGCAGCUGCUGGUCUGCACCACAGCCACAGCAACACAGGAUCCGAGCCGAGUCUGCAACCAACACCACAGCUCAGGGCAAUGCCAGAUCCUUAACCCACUGAGCAGGGUCAGGGAUCAAACCUGCAUCCUCGGGGAUGCUAGUCAGAUUCGUUAACCGCUGAGCCACGACAGGGACUCCUCAUGAUUUGCUAAGGGAAUGGGACAUGGGGCUGUUCCACUAUCUCUGCAAAGUGGGCUCACUGACUGGGAUUUACCAGCAUUAUGGUACCUUGGGUUUCCAUUGAGCACUUUGUGCUGGUCUCUGUGCUGAGUACGGUGUCUCUUGCAUGACUCUGUAGGGUAGAUUUGAUUAUUAUCCCUCCAUUAUAGAUUAGGAAACUGAGGCGUGGAGGUGUUUCAUAACUCUCCAUGGCUACACAGAUUGGAAGUUCUGAGGUAGGAUUCAAACCAGGACUGCAUAAUGGUAGCUCCUGUCUGUUUAAUCUGUACAAAAUUCUACCUUUCCAAACAGAGUGACCAUUCAAUUACUCAGCCAGGAUUGACUGACUUAUUUACCUAGCAGAAAUAACAGCUUAUGUGGGAUAAUUAUGAUAAAAAUCAAAGACAUAAGUAACAAAGCUAAUAUAAGAAGGCUCUGUGAUUUAAGAGGUCCUCUGUUGGGGGGCUCCCUUCUAUCUUUAUGUUAAAAUUUUUUUUCUUAGCAUGCAAGGUGUCUGAGGGGGCCUUGUAUGUUUCAUAGAGUAGCUAGCUCUUUCUCUAUUUGAAAGCAUAAAUCCUCAAUUCUUCAGCUUUUUUGGGGGGAGGGCUGCGGCUGUGGCGUCACACCCAAGCCACAGCAGUGACAAUGUCAGAUCCUUAACCUACUGAGCCACUGGGGAACUCUGAUUAGAUGAUGUUUUUAAGGCUAACCCAGCAGACCUACUGAAAUGCACUCUGAAGUGUUGAGAUCUGCAAUGAAACGUAUCACUAGAUGGCAGUACAAAUCAAUUUUUUAAAAAUCCAACUGCUUUCUAACUCUGUAAAUUAAGCUCUAGGAAAGCAUCAUCAUUUUUGACAAGAUCAGGGCAAGAGAAUUAAAUUCAAAAUGGGUUUUAAUCACUAGAAGAGAAUUCACAAGUAUUUUAAGGUUUAAAGACCUGCAAAGUAUAAAGGCUUUUAUAAAGGAAGCUGUUUCUAAAAUUUUAGAAGUUCCUGCUUUGGAGGGAGAAAAAGUUUUCAUGUUUUGACUAGGGAAACUACACCAGCAAGAUACAUACAUGUACUUCUGGGUUUUUUUUUCCGUUCACCGGAUAAGAAUCAGCCUUUAGUCUAUAAUUGAAAAUAUAGCUGUCAAUUUAGUCCCUGGGGAAGUUCGUUUCAGUUAAUGCCAGAGAAAAAGCCAGUAUUUAAGUAAUUUCAGGAAGCUAGAAUUGACCUCCAGGUUGGUUUGACAUCUGAGCCCCUGGGCCUAUUGAUUUGUGGCUGAGAUAAUGAAAUAGCUUUCACCCAUUAGAAGGGAAUUCCCAGCCUUUUAUUUCAGAGAGACGGUCAGGCAGUGAGAAGUGAGGUAAAUGCAUUUUCUCAUCUCUGUUCACCCAAAUUUGGCUCUCAUAGGAUGAAUUUUAAUGAUCUAACUGGUAUCCUGCCUAGCAGAGAGAAUUAAUGUUUUAUUUUAGAGAAGGCCUAGAGUCAAAGUGGAAAACUAACUUAAGAGAUGGAUUCUUUUUAUUUUUUUUAUCUCCAGCUAGCAUAUGCAAAUUAUAAUCUCUUCUAGAAAGUUCACAGGGAACCAGCAUCAAAGAAAUGGAAUUCAGCUCAUCCCUCCAAGAAACUGAAGUUUCAGGACAUACCUUUCAAAAGACAAACACAGGCUGACAACUGCCUACAGAUCACCAAGAGCCAAAGUGCACCUGAAAGCCAUUGUCAAAGCACAGAAUUCCAUUUUUUUUUUAAACCUUUGUAGGGCUGCACCCGCAGCAUAUGGAGGUUCCCAGGCUAGGGGUCAAAUUGUAGCUACAGCUGCCAGCCUGCACUACAGCCACAGCCACAUGGAAUCCCAGCCGUGUCUGUGGCCUGCUCCAUAGCUACGGCAACGCUGGAUGCCCGAUCUACUGAGAGAGGCCAGGGAUGGAACCCUGUCCUCAGGUGUACUAGUCAGAUUUGUUAACUGAUGAGCCACAACAGGAACUCCAGAUUCCUCACUUGUUAGUUGGACACAAUAAUACCUCACAAGAGUGUUGUGAGGGCAAAUGAGAUAACGAAUGGGAAAGCAGUUGUAAACUAUAUGGUGGCAUCCUUAACAUGGACCAUUAUUGCUUUUAACAUGUUGGCCUACACAACCUCAUUGUCACCCCGCCUCUCUGUCCCCAUCCACAAUGCGCAUGUGCAUACACACAUACACACACACACACACACACACACACACACAGAUUGGAAACCCAAGCAUCAUUUUGUUCUCUGAUGCCCUCACAUCUUUACCUAUUAGUCUCCAUUUCCACAACCAGAUAACCAGAAGAAUCGUCUAUGUGGACUUUCUGCUUCUUCCUUUUUUUUUUUUUUUUUCUUUUCUUUUUUGGGCAGCACUUGUGGAAGUUCCUGGACCAGGGAUCCAACCCAUGCCACAGCUGUAACAGGAGCUACGGCAGUGAUAACACCAGAUCCUUAAUCCAGUAAACCCCCAGGAAACUCUUGGACUUUCUGCUUCUAACCUAGCCUUGCUUAACUCCAUUCCACUCACUGCAGAAGAAAUAAUCCUGUUAAAAGCUCACUGUGAGUAUAUUCUUCCCUGUUUUAAAACUUUCAGUGAUUUCCCAUGCAGAAUAAAGUCUAAACUCAAAAUAGCUGGCAUGAAAAGCCACUGACAAUCUGGCCCUCUUAUCUAAGUCACAUUGAUGAGAGGGCCACAUAGAAUUCAAAGUGCGAGCGUUUGAAUUGCUUCAUCUGAGGAUAGGUGACGUAGCCACAAGGGUUUGCCAGCAAUUUUUCCUUCCUACUCCUUCAAUUUUGAUCUUGAAAAUGUCCAUCUGAAGCUUGCUUUUCUCUCUGGGGUCAUUUUAAGUGAAUCGUACCCAACCUUCUAUAACUUCUAGCCUCCCCAAAGCUCCUGCUCUCACUCCCCUGUUCUGCCAUGCUCUGCCAUGAUAUUUAGCUUCCUUUUUGAGAGUUCACCAUCUCGAUAGAAGUCAGAAAUUCAUAACCCACUGGCUGAACCUGACUCCUAGAUGUGUUUUGGACCCUUGCAAUGUUGGUCUGCACUAUGUUUAACAACAUACACACUUAUUGGAGAAUUGAUGUUAUAAAAAAUUCCAUCUUGAGAAACUUGAAAAGCUAGCAACCCUAGUCUUUCAGAUGCAAAUGGCUACAGUCUACUUAUUGUGAAAACUGUUUCUAUAGCUGCUUCUACCUCUUCUAUUUCAAUUCUUUUUCCUAAUUCACUGCUUACAUUUCUAUCAUUUCACGACGACUGUUCUUGUCACCAUCACCAGCAACCCCCAUAAUUUCCAAAUCCAGUGGUCUCAGCUCUGCUUUGUCUUACAUGAACAUUCAGCAGCAUUUGACAUUCAAUCAUUCCCUACUUCCUGAAAUACCUGCCCCCUCACCCCUAACCACUUGGCUUCCGUUAUACUCCUUUUGUGGGUUCCUCUUAGUCUCCUUUGCUAGCUCCUGUUCUCUGCUCCACUUCUAAAGUCAGGGCGGCCUGGGCUUGGUCAGGGUCCUCUUCAAUUUGCAUAUUCUUCCUAAAGGAUCAUAUCCAGUCUUGGAGCUUUAAAAGCCUUCUAUUGGCCAUGUCUACUAAAUGUAUUUUUUUUCUAACUUGGAUUUCUUCAUAGGUGUCCACACAUUUACAUCUAACUGCCUAUUUCCUGUGACAUCUUCUCUUGAAUUUCCAAUAAGCAUCUUGAACUUCAGCAUCACAAAAAAGAAUUUUUGGGGAGUUCCUCUUAUGGCCAGUGGAAACUAAUCCAACUAGUAUCCAUGAGAAUGUGGGUUGGAUCCCUGCCCUUGCUCAGGGGUCAGGGAUCUGGUGAGCUGUGGUGUAGGUUGCAAACUCAGCUUGGAUUUCCUGCAUUGUUGUGGCUGUGGCAUAGGCUGGCAGUUGUAGCUCUGAUUCGACCCCUAGCCUGGGAAUUUACAUAUGCUGCGGGUGUAGC